AUGGUGCCAAAGCCUAUAAAGACAGCAAAGUCUGUAACAUGCUUACCAUGCAAGAGUACCAUAGGCGUUUCCACGAGGAGACUGGCAUUGCCUUUGCUUCCCUCUAUCCCGGCUGCAUUGCUGAAACUGGUUUAUUUAGGAAUCACAUUCCCUUGUUCAGGACUCUCUUCCCACCAUUUCAAAAGUACAUAACCAAAGGCUAUGUAUCUGAAGAAGAAGCAGGAAAAAGACUUGCACAGGUAGUACGUGAUCCAAGUCUUUCAAAAUCCGGUGUCUACUGGAGUUGGAACAGUACCUCCUCCUCUUUUGAGAACCAGCUGUCGAAGGAAGCCAGUGAUGCAGAGAAGGCACGCAAGCUAUGGGAGGUCAGUGAGAAGCUCGUUGGACUGGCUUAAAUGGAGUGGCAAGGGUGCGACUUGUUUUCCCAUCCAAGUCAGGAGAAGAUGUAUAUAUGAGAUCACCAGAGUUCUUUUAUCAAAAUACUUAUUGGUAUUUGUUGUUGAUUGAUUUUACCAACAGAGUUUUCAGGUAGGUAGGCAACAAGUUCUUGUAAUGAUAUGGACAUCUCAAUUCUAAGACCAUGUGCAUAACCAGCAACUCUUAAACUGGAGGGACCUGCAAAGAAUUGAUCAGAUCAGAGAGUAUAUGAUCCAUCAUGUUAUUUACCAAAUUUAGAUAAGACGACUGGUAUUUCUAAAUAUCCAUUAAUAGCUAGCUUCGUUACUUGUUACCAUUCAUAUUUCAUUUGCGUAUAAUAAA
rnacentral:misc_RNA from 1 species